UGAAACCGUCUAGAGGCAAACGGAGAGGACCGUAUGGUCCGCCCGUCGGAUUCAGUACGCCUGCGCGUGGGACGCGUCGGCGGCGCAUCUCUCGUGGGAGCGCCCCGGCGUGUCGUGCCGCGCGCGGCGGCCGUAUUUUCGGCGGGCGGAGCGCCACGACCGGUUCGCGGGCGGCGAGAAACUCYCGGGCAAGGUGACCGUCGCCUCGGCGUCGGAGCAUACAGGCUCGGUGAGCGUCGGCCCGUCUGCGGACCGAGGACGACCGUCGCGUGGCGGCGUCGACCGCCUGUCGUGGGCGUGCGUUCGACUGGGGGGGACUGGUUCCAGUGCCCUCCGACCGCGUGCGUCUAUCGGCGGGACGGCCCGGCGUCGUCGUUGGGGUCGGUGGCGAAACGGCCGGCAACCUGUCCGACCCGUCUUGAAACACGGACCAAGGAGUCUAACAUGUGCGCGAGUCGUUGGGCGCUACGAAACCCGAAGGCGCAAUGAAAGUGAAGGCUCGGUCUCCGACCGGCCCAGGUGGGAUCCGGGCGGUCUCGGCCGUCCGGCGCACCACCGGCCCGUCUCGUUCGCCGCGUCGAAGAGGCGGAGCAAGAGCGUACACGUUGGGACCA
rnacentral:rRNA from 1 species